UGUACUGACGUCGUUCAUCAGAUAUGCGUUAUAUGGUGGUAUCUUACUAUGGCGAGAGAGAAGACCACAAGUAAUUACAGUAAAACACUCCAACUAGGCUACUUAAAAGUAGAUAACUGUGCACAAUUCACUGCUUGUGAGUUUGCUGGACAGUCUUUCACUGACAGGGAAGUACAUCAGAACCCAGCUGAGACUAAACAAAAUCUGUAAACUCUCUCUCUUACUUAUUCUCUGUGGCCCCUUUUACCUGCUGGCGAGUUUGUGAGGUAACAUUUUAUCUCUUCUCUCUCCUCUCUUUAGUUACUUGGGAAUCCAGACAUGAGCCCAUCUGCAGAGCGAGUUUUCACCACUGGGUUGCGGUCUAUAUUGGAUCAGCUGAUCGGCAUGGCCGUUUAACAUCAAUGUCCGUGUGUUUGCUGAACAUUGCCAGAGCUGUUCUGACUGUCCAUUUGCAGCCUUUUCUGAAGUGCCGACUCCAUCGUUGCUCACCGCAAGCAGCACCAUAUUUCUUCAUCACUGCUGUGUUAAAGAUGCUUGCAGCAUUUCCACGUCUUCUCUGGCAUAGGGGUGCGCAGGUUCCCCCUCCUCAUCGCUUCCACCUGCCAGACUGAGACCGCCCGUCUUACUAAUCUGUCUUUGGGGAGAACGACAACGGGAGUCGGCAAAGGACGCGGCACCUCCGGGCCCCAUAAAUCCCGGCGGCACCCGAUUACCCAUUUCAGGCCACAAAGUCAAAGAACUGGGCAUUAAGUGGAGCAAGUUGCUUGGCACCAAGGACAAAGCUGACAGGAAACAUAAGGCCCCCACAUGUGGCCCCGGACGUGAAGAAUUGGUCCGCUUUCGAGGACGUACACUAUACGGAUGAGACGGCCCCUCUCAAAUUAGCACUGAGCAGGGUGACUGCCGAAACGCCAGCUGAUGAAGAGACACGCGGCUGCCACUAUUUGCGCCGCUAAGGCAUUCAUCAAAUUAAUUACUGCUGUGCCCAACCACCUCUCUGAUACCUCUUUAUUUUGAGUCCUGUAAAUGGGGCCUCAGACGAGUCCUGACAGGGAGCCCUAAUACACACACUGCCUCUUCUACAGCAACAUAAUUAAUUGAAAACUUCGCUGGCUUGACAAAUUGGAAUGAUGAAUCUAUCUUCUAUGAAUAGCUUAAGGAAAGAGAAAGAGAGAGAGAGAGAGAACGAGGAAGAAAAAAAUGCAUAAUCAGUCAAAAAUGUAGACGCAACAUCUCUCUCUCGCUGGCUUUGCUGCGUAUUGAGAGCCAUUAGGGCCGAGAGGAGCCGUGGCGCUGCGAAAAGACUGACUUUCCUUCCAUCCACGUCUCAAUUGAUAACUUUGGCUCUUCGAUUUAAUAGAGCGGUCAAGGUGGAGCUGUUCUUCUGUAUGGUUCAAGAGAAAUAAAGAGAGGCGUGUGUGUUUGUGAACAGUCAUACAGUACAUGUCUAUGCAGGAAAAUAUGAGAAGGUUGCAGAUGUGAAGGACACACCUUUUCCGUGGGAGGCCGGCAGACUGAUUUCAGUUCAGAGGGAAGCGAGACAGGACUACAGAACUAAAUAAAGUCUCAGAUGGAUGAAACUGAACUGCCGCUAGAAAAACCUGCAAGACAAUGAGAUUCCCUGUGCCCCCGGAGAAAUGUUUACAUGCUCUUCAAAUACACGUGAAAUAUAUACAUAUACAGUUUA